CUCGAUCGAACUGUUUCUAAAACCCUAGGGUUUCCCCAAAUUUAUCUCUAAUUUCUUUUUUUUCUUUUUUUUUUCAAAUUUCAAAUCCUAUGGAAGAAAUUAUUGGCAAGGAGAAAAUGCCGGUUUUUAGGCGGUUGGCUGAUUACCUGUUGAAUUUUGAUUGCAGGUAAUGGCUUGAAGUACCUGUAUUCAUGGUUCUCUUACUCUUUAUAUCGAUCCGUGAAGCUGUUUCGAUGCUUUGAUCCGAUCUCCGAUUCUCUUUCGAUCUGCUGCUCUCGAACUCUUCACUCCCGUCAAUGGAUCCUUCUCUCACUCUUCGUAUCGAUCAGUGAAGCUGCUUCGAUGCUUUGAACCGAUCUCCAAUUCUCAUUGAUAUGCUGCUCUUCAGAUCUUGACUCCCGUUCAUGGAUCCUUCAAGAGGUUUUGUACCCAUGAUGAUGAUGAAUGAAUGCUGGGUACCGGUUAUCAUGAUGCACUUUCAUUUCUAUGCAUGCAGUUUGUGCUUCAUUUGGAUGCAUGGUAGGAAGGCAUUCCCACCUCUGUGAAGUAUGAUUGGGUCCAAUGCCAUUUUGAGGCUUCGGCUCAGUGGAAUCACAUCUCACCAUCCAUCCAAAUGGUGCAUUGAGCAAAUUUACUAGUUUGUUAUGUUGACCAAAGGACCUUAUUUACCCAGCUUCUCACCAUGCUUCAGUUUGUUUCUAGUUUUACUCUUGCAUCCUACAUAUAUAUGCUACAUUUAGCUGGACAAAAUGCUCUAGCAUUAGUAGCAAACCACCUCCUGAAGCUUCAUUGAGAACUCGUUGUGGAUGUGCUUUAAGGCCCAUCAGGUUCAGAUUUCUACUUGUCCUUCUUUAGAAUGAAAGAUAUUCUUUGAAGCAGCUUGUAGCUGAGUUUGGUGCCUUGCAGGCAUUGCUUGAGUUGACACAUGAAAUCAACAUGGAGCACAUAUUUGUAGUUGGAAACUUUUAAAAGUAGUUUGAGAUGGUUCUAGUUAAGUAUCUUUUCUUUCAUAGGUUAAGCAUCAUUCUGGGGUUUAUCACAUUAAAAUAUUAUUAGUAGUUAGUAUCAUUUUAAAUUUUUCUUCUGGAACAUGAUGUGAAUAUUUUCAUUUGGAAACAAAAAUACAUCUAUCGAUUUAUGCUCUUAUUAAGAACUUUUCCUGUAUUGAAGUUUUCUUCAAGCGGGUGCAGUAUAUUUUAACUUGGUUAAGAUUUGACACUAUUUGUCAGAUAAAUAUACGAGAAUUUGCUUUCUUUUUUAACUUUGUAAAAGGGCAUUAUACGAGACUUUAUGCUUCCAUCAAUGGUGCAAAUUCAUUGGUUGACAGUUGACGUCUACUUUUUGGUUGUAGGUUUUGUACCCAUCAUGAUGAUGAAUGAAUGCUGGGUACCGGUUAUCAUGAUGCACUUUCAUUUCUAUGCAUGCAGUUUGUGCUUCAUUUGGAUGCAUGGUAGGAAGGCAUUCCCACCUCUGUGAAGUAUGAUUGGGUCCAAUGCCAUUUUGAGGCUUCGGCUCAGUGGAAUCACAUCUCACCAUCCAUCCAAAUGGUGCAUUGAGCAAAUUUACUAGUUUGUUAUGUUGACCAAAGGACCUUAUUUACCCAGCUUCUCACCAUGCUUCAGUUUGUUUCUAGUUUUACUCUUGCAUCCUACAUAUAUAUGCUACAUUUAGCUGGACAAAAUGCUCUGGCAUCAGUAGCAAGCCACCUCCUGAAGCUUCAUUGAGAACUCGUUGUGGAUGUGCUUUUAGGCCAAUCAGGUUCAGAUUUCUACUUGUCCUUCUUUAGAAUGAAAGAUAUUCUUUGAAGCAGCUUGUAGCUGAGUUUGGUGCCUUGCAGGCAUUGCUUGAGUUGACACAUGAAAUCAACAUGGAGCACUUAUUUGUAGUUGGAAACUUUUAAAAAUAGUUUGAGAUGGUUCUAGUUAAGUAUCUUUUCUUUCAUAGGAAUCUCUAAGGAAAAACACAAUUCUUUGCUUGCAAAUCUAUGUAAAGAGAGAAAGUCCUUUAUAUGGUCUCAUACUAACUUGGCUGAUCUGUCUUAUGGCCUAGAGUUUUAGGUUGAUGAAAUUUAGCACAUGAUUGUAAAAAUCAGUUGAAUUGAGUCACAUGACCAUUUGCUCUAGCCAUUAGUCCUGUUAGGGGACUGGAUUUAUUCAUCUAAACAUGAUGCUUACACCAGUAAAUAAGAUUUGGGGUGACAAGCUGUGACAAUUGUAUCUGACCUUUGAUUUAAUUGAAGAUGUGGGAUAAGAAGUUAAUAUUAGAGAA